AGGGACGUCACUGAGUCAAUUAGAUCUGUGGUUUCUUCAUCUAAGUGGUGCAGUUCUUUGGAUAACGGAUAAUGAUUCAUAGUUUCCUGUUCACUUUUCACAAGGGGACAGAGAAGACAGAAAGGAAACCCUUUACACCAUGAUGCCAGCAAAUGCCUUUGUGGGUUUAAAGCUUAAUUCAGCAGCCUGGAUCAAGGGACGCUUGUUUGAAGCUCUGAGCAUGCAGAAAUCCUCACCCCACUCCACCCCCAGCCAGUACCUGUGGUAAGGGAUCCAGGUGCUCCAAACAGCCACUUUGGAACCAGAAGUCCCAUGAACAUGGUGAAGCCUACAAUGAAGAUAUUCCUGCCCGAAUCAAUAUCUGUGUAUUGGAAGUAGGAGACACCGGUGCCCACAGCUACACUGUAUGUUACGCAAAGCACUCCUCCUGAAGACAGCAUUGGCGAUCAAAGAUACCCCAUGAAUGAAAAAAGCAGAACAGAAUUCAUUUGAUGUUAGGACAGAGUAGUAGAAUAAAGAGUAAUUUUAGAUGGCCAUUUCCUGGUGCUACCAAGCAACAGGCAUUCUGCUUUUCCAUCUU